rnacentral:rRNA from 1 species
AUUGAACGCUGGCGGCAUGCCUUACACAUGCAAGUCGAACGGCAGCACGGGGGCAACCCUGGUGGCGAGUGGCGAACGGGUGAGUAAUGCAUCGGAACGUGCCCUGAAGUGGGGGAUAACGUAGCGAAAGUUACGCUAAUACCGCAUAUUCUGUGAGCAGGAAAGCAGGGGAUCGCAAGACCUUGCGCUUUAGGAGCGGCCGAUGUCGGAUUAGCUAGUUGGUGGGGUAAAAGCUCACCAAGGCGACGAUCCGUAGCGGGUCUGAGAGGAUGAUCCGCCACACUGGGACUGAGACACGGCCCAGACUCCUACGGGAGGCAGCAGUGGGGAAUAUUGGACAAUGGUGGGAACACUGAACCAGCCAUUCCGCGUGAAGGAUGAAUGCCCUCUGGGUUGUAAACUUCUUUAGUCUGGGACGAAAAGCUUCAUUUAUGAAGAACUGACGGUACCAGAAGAAUAAGCACCGGCUAACUACGUGCCAGCAGCCGCGGUAAAG